rnacentral:rRNA from 1 species
GAAAGAUUUAUCGCCAAAGGAUCGGCCCGCGUUGGAUUAGGUAGUUGGUGGGGUAAUGGCCUACCAAGCCGACGAUCCAUAGCUGGUUUGAGAGGAUGAUCAGCCACACUGGGACUGAGACACGGCCCAGACUCCUACGGGAGGCAGCAGUGGGGAAUCUUAGACAAUGGGGGCAACCCUGAUCUAGCCAUGCCGCGUGAUCGAUGAAGGCCUUAGGGUUGUAAAGAUCUUUCAGUGGGGAAGAUAAUGAC